AGUGAACGCUGGCGGCAGGCUUAACACAUGCAAGUCGAGCGCCCCGCAAGGGGAGCGGCAGACGGGUGAGUAACGCGUGGGAAUCUACCCAUCUCUACGGGAUAACGCAUGGAAACGUGUGCUAAUACCGUAUACGUCCUUCGGGAGAAAGAUUUAUCGGAGAUGGAUGAGCCCGCGUUGGAUAGCUAGUUGGUGGGGUAAAGGCCUACCAAGGCGACGAUCCAUAGCUGGUCUGAGAGGAUGAACAGCCACACUGGGACUGAGACACGGCCCAGACUCCUACGGGAGGCAGCAGUGGGGAAUAUUGGACAAUGGGCGCAAGCCUGAUCCAGCCAUGCCGCGUGAGUGAUGAAGGCCCUAGGGUUGUAAAGCUCUUUCACCGGUGAAGAUAAUGACGGUAACCGGAGAAGAAGCCCCGGCUAACUUCGUGCCAGCCGCCGCCGUAAAAC
rnacentral:rRNA from 1 species